UUUUUUUUUUACUUCUUAAUCGUAUUAUUGGAGAUAGUGAAAAAUCCCUGUUGUUUCUGGUGAAGAAGCUAAGACAUAAGUAAAUUUAGGAGCUUUUAAAGCAUAGCAGUUUUUAAAGUUAGUAGAAAGUUAGUAUUCAGAGUAUUCCAUGUGCUAUUAUGUUGAGCCAUGCAUCUCUACUCCUUAUUAAAUAUUCAAACAACAAACCUAUUAGUUGGCAAACUAAAUGUUAAAGGGAUAUUAUUCUGUUCUUCAAGACUUUCAUUGGCUUAUGUCUCCUUUGGAUGUGUUCUCUUAAGAUUGAUUCACUUAGCCUUAAAUUAAUUCAAAGAUUGUAUGCAAAAAAAUUGUCUUUGCUUUGUCUUUGGACUAAUUAAAGCUAAGUGGUGGUGGCCCAGCUAUCCUUUAGGACAUUUGUGGGUGGAGUAUCUUUUUUAGUAAUCAGCUGCCUUCCCUUCCCGCCUCAUUUGAUGAAAUGGAAAAUUUCUCUACAAUUUCUCAUAGUAUCAGUAACCAUUGUAGUAAUACUGUGCUUUUCUGAACCAUCCAAGAAACUUAACCGUCAUUCUUAAUAUUAGUUUCUAUGAAAAAUGAUUCCAAGUUUCAAAGAAUAAAUUGAAAAGCACUAGGAUUAUAAGAACAGUUUUCUGGGUUUUUUUUAGAAAGAUACAUUAGAGAAACAUUUAAAAUAUUUGUUUUUUCUUGUUUAAAAUACUGCACAUUGUCUCUAAUUAAUCAAUUUAAGAAAGUUAUGAACAGUUUGUUUGGAAUCCAGAAAAUAAUAAAUGAUGAUGACUAGAAAACUCAAAAGCAUCCCUUUAAGAGAGAAUUGUAAAUGUUACUUAGACAAGUAAUAGAAAAGUGUCAUUUAGGAGUAGUAAAUAAUUUACUAUGAAUUUUCUCUUUAAAACUAACAAAACUUAAAACUUAGUAUUUUAGUCUAAUAAUUUGGAAAUCUUUAUAGGUGCUUUCACAUCAGUGCCACUUUUAUUAUAGAAAACUAAACAAGGAUAAAUUUAUAUAUGUUGAAAAUAGCAGUAUUGACUCAAACACAAAAUAUCCUGUUUUCCAUCCUUGUGAAAUAAUGUUUAAAUUGUAAACAAAUUUGGAAAAAUGUUUUUCUCUAUCUUUUUUUAUAUUUUUUAUUCUUAUUUUUUUUUAGUGUUUUCAUGUAUACACUCUACCGAUUAUUAGGGGCAUAGACUCAGGGAACCUAGUCACCUAAUAACCGAAUUUGAAAACUCUCAAAUUAUUUUGUAAAUCCUGUUGUGAUUAAACCACUUUAAGUUUCUCCUAAAAAAAAAGUCAAGUUAUGUUUAAAAUAAUCUUUUUUAAAGUUAUGGCUUCUGAAAAGGAUUAUUUCUUGAAAGGAGAUUGUGAACAUUUUAGAAUAUUAUUAAGGCUACCAUCAGCUGCUAAGGGACAUCAAAUCCUGACUCAAGGAAAUAGUAAUUUUUCAUAAGUAGGAAUUUUUCUAAAGUAGAGAAAAGAUGUACAUUGUUGUCUGUUACAUAUGCAAUUAGGUAAAAAAAGUCCUAGGACUUAAGAAGCAAUCUCAGGUUUUUCAUAGCGGUGUAGAGAAGUAUAAAUAUUUAUUCAGUUGCUUGUAUAUGAUAUCAUAUGGUAUUUGUCUUUCUCUUUCUGACUUACUUCACUCGGUAUGAGAGACUGUAGUUCCAUUCAUGUUGCUGCAAAUGAAAAGACUUAGAGAAAAGACUUGUGGUUGCCAAGGGGGAGGGGGAGGGAGUAGGAUGGAUUGGGAGCUUGGGGUUAAUAGAUGCAGACUAUUGCCUUGGGAAUGGAUUAGCAAUGAGAUCCUGUUGUGUAGCACUGGGAGCUAUGUCUAGUCACAUGAUGGAGCAUGAUAAUGUGAGAAAAAAGAAUGUAUACGUGUAUGUGUAACUGAGUCACCAUGCUGUACAGUAGAAAAAAAAAAUGUAUU
ensembl:lncRNA